ensembl:rRNA 5S_rRNA 5S ribosomal RNA
UUCUACAGCCAUACCACCCUGAAUGUGCCCAAUGUCAUCUGAUCUCAGAAGCUAAGCAGGUUCAGGCCUGGUUAGUACUUGGAUGGGAGAAAAAGUAAGGUUAUUACAGAAU